rnacentral:rRNA from 1 species
AUUGAACGCUGGCGGCAGGCCUAACACAUGCAAGUCGAGCGGAUGAAGGGAGCUUGCUCCUGGAUUCAGCGGCGGACGGGUGAGUAAUGCCUAGGAAUCUGCCUGGUAGUGGGGGAUAACGUCCGGAAACGGGCGCUAAUACCGCAUACGUCCUGAGGGAGAAAGUGGGGGAUCUUCGGACCUCACGCUAUCAGAUGAGCCUAGGUCGGAUUAGCUAGUUGGUGGGGUAAAGGCCUACCAAGGCGACGAUCCGUAACUGGUCUGAGAGGAUGAUCAGUCACUGUGAAAGUGAGACGGGGUCCACACCUCUACGAGAGGCAGGUGUGGAAUAUAGUGGACUAGGGGCAAGCGUCAGCUAGAGACAUGGCGCGUGUGUGAAGAAUGUUCGCGGAUUGUAAAGCUCUUUGAUUUGAGAAAGAGCAGUGUAUGUUAAUACCGCUCUGUUGUCAUGUCAACAACAGAAUACACCGCGUAAAACCGUG